AAUUCCAACUUUGCUAGGGGAGAUGACGAAGUGUCUCUCAAAUAAUCCUACCUAAGAUCUCAAAGUCUCUGAGUGUGAAGGUGAAACUGUGACACCUUGCAAACCUUCAGAAGUGACACUGGGCAAUGAUGGUGAAACCACUGUCUCAGCUCAUUGUUGGGAGACUGCCAAAGCACAAAGUACAGCCAAUGGGAUGGCACGAACGCUGCUGAUGGGCAUCUUCAGUGUUGAUGUUCUCCUGAAGUCCAACCUAACCGGAGGGUUGAACAAGGUCGAUCCUACAGCAGAACGACGACAGGCUCUUGACGGGAAGAAACUGGAAGCUUUGCUUGAUGCUGUAAAAAACCGCUUUCCAGGGAUCAAGACAUCAGACCUUAGAAAAUCGAUUAACACGAGAAUCUGUGAGUUACGGCACCAGGUGAAACGAAAGAACAAGAUGGACAAUUAAAUUAAACAAG